GAAAGGCACAGUUCAAACUCUUUCGAUCCUCACCACAUUACCAGGAGCCAGCGGCGUAGGUCAGAGGGGCGUGGUGCAGCAGGGGAGCUGGGGCGGCGUAGGAGAGGGGAGCCGAGUAGGCCACCGGUGCGGAAUAGGUCAGAGGAGCGGCAUACGAGGAGUAGGCCACCGGGGCGGAGUAGGCCAGAGGAGCAGAGUAGGCGACGGGAGCCAAAGUCUUCACAAUGGGUGCGGCGGCCAACACGGGAGCGGAGUGGACAGCGGUGGUCUUGACCACGGGAGCCACCACAUCCUCCACCACGGGGGUGCUGUGCACCUGGGUCAGGCUCUGGUGGGACACGGCGGUGGGCACGCUCUUCACAACAGCACCCACUUUGGCCAGAACGGGCUCCUGGACGACGGUGGUGGUGGCGGGAGCGCUGUAGACCAGAGGAGCAGCAGCCAGGUGACCGGGCUUGGCGGCGGCCACGGCCAAAAGAGCAGCGAGAACGAACUGGAGACGAGAAUAAGAGUUAGUAUUCCAAAGUGGUGCCAUAUGGAUAUCCCUGCGAUCCUUACCAAUUUGAACAUAUUGGUGUGGUGUUGGCUUCUUCGACUGGUGUCGCUGGAUAGGGAGACAGACUUCGAAUGUGUUGAGCUGAGGGACUGUCAACGUCUUUUAUACUUGAACUUCACAUUUUACACACACACGCACUUCGCCGGCUUUUGUCAAUUGAGGCGGAUACAAUAAGCCAUAAGUCGAACGUGCCUGAACGGAUUCUGGCCGCUUGUCUCGGGUCUUGGCCAUAAACCAGAUUAUUAUUCGUGGCCAAUUUCUGUUCGGCUCGCUCGCCUCCUCAACCGAGUUUGCCCCUUUCCCACUACUCAUUACUUCACUUAUUUUCGGCCUCGCACUUGUUUGCCAUACCCACUCUUGAUUUCAUUUCACAACUCGGAGCUCAUUAGUCGCACGUACUCACCUGAAGAUCGAUUUCUGGUGCGGAGGGAG
ensembl:ncRNA asRNA:CR45890 antisense RNA:CR45890